AUUGAACGCUGGCGGCAGGCCUAACACAUGCAAGUCGAGCGGAGCGGCGGACGGGUGAGUAAUGCCUAGGGAUCAGCCUGGUAGUGGGGGAUAACGUACGGAAAAGGGCGCUAAUGCCACAUAAUAACAGCUGAGCCUAGGUCGGAUUAGCUAGUUGGUGGGGUAAAGGCCUAACAAGGCGACGAUCCGUAACUGGUCUGAGAGGAUGAUCAGUCACACUGGAACUGAGACACGGUCCAGACUCCUACGGGAGGCAGCAGUGGGGAAUAUUGGACAAUGGGCGAAAGCCUGAUGCAGCCAUGCCGCGUGUAUGAAGAAGGCCUUCGGGUUGUAAAGUACUUUCAGUCGGGAGGCGUUACCGACAGAAGAAGCACCGGCUAACUCCGGGCCAGCAGCCGCGGUAAUUC
rnacentral:rRNA from 1 species